UUGCAUCACUCUUUUUUCAUUUUGCAGGUGCUGCCCUUGGACCCCUGCUGGCAGGUGUGAUCUCUCGCACCGGCUGGGACAAUGUCUUCUACAUGUUGAUGGCCGCCGAUCUCCUGGCUUGCCUAUUCCUUUCACGUGUGGUGUUCAAAGAAAUACGAGGGUGGUGCGGCUCCUGCGGAAGAAAACGAGGCUCUUGUGUGGCAUUAACAGAACCAGUAGUGUUGGAUAUGAAAUAGUUUGCAGUGUCAGACAUCACUCUUGAGUAGGCAUGUUCUGGGGCCAUAAGUCAUGCUUUAAAGAAUUUUGACGGAGACCCACGUGACCGGAGGAAACCAUCGAGGCAACAGGGAGAGCCUUGCCGGAGGCAGUUGGUUUUGUUGCCCGCUCCCCUUGUUCACAGCGGGAGGAAUAAAUGAAGCUGAAACGGGAUGUGCUCCAGAAACAAAAGAGAACUCUCUUGCCGAACGCCAGUCAAGCUGAUCACCAAGCUUCACACUUUUUUAAAAAAAGAAAAGAAAAUAAGAAUAAUAACUGACGGAAGGGAACAGGGGAACAUGAUGCCGUGGAACCAAAGGAGAAAAAGAAAAGCUGGCAUAUUUGAGAUCCGUGCCAUAUCCAAAGCCUCUCUUUUGUAUCAAUUGCCCUUUUGUUACUGCGAUUUUUUAUUAUUAAAAAUGGCACGGGA